rnacentral:rRNA from 1 species
GCAGCCGCGGUAAUACGUAGGUGGCGAGCGUUAUCCGGAUUUACUGGGUGUAAAGGGUGAGUAGGCGGGUCUGCAAGUCAGAUGUGAAAACUUGGAGCUUAACUCCAAGCCUGCAUUUGAAACUGUGGAUCUUGAGAGUCGGAGAGGUAAUCGGAAUUCCCGGUGUAGCGGUGAAAUGCGUAGAUAUCGGGAGGAACAUCAGUGGCGAAGGCGGAUUACUGGACGACAACUGACGCUGAGACACGAAAGCGUGGGGAGCAAACAGGAUUAGAUACCCC